rnacentral:rRNA from 1 species
GACGAACGCUGGCGGCGUGCCUAAUACAUGCAAGUCGAACGCAGUGGGGACGGGUGAGUAACACGUGGGUAACCUCCCAUCAGAGGGGAUAAAACUUGGAAACAGGUGCUAAACCGAUACUGAUGGAUGGACCCGCGGUGCAUUAGCUAGUGGGUGAGGUAACGGCUCACCAAGGCCAUGAUGCAGAGCUGACCUGAGAGAGGGACCGGCCACACUGGGACUGAGACACGGCCCAGACUCCAACGGGAGGCAGAAGUAGGGAAUCUUUGGCAAUGAACGAAAGUCGAACGGGGAAACGCCGCGUGAGUGAAGAAGGUUUGCGGAUCGUAAGACUCUUUUGUUGGGGAGGCGGUAUCUGACCAGAAAGCCACGGCUAACUACGUGCCAGCCGCCGCGGUAAUAC